rnacentral:rRNA from 1 species
GACGAACGCUGGCGGCGUGCUUAACACAUGCAAGUCGAACGGAAAGGCCCUGCUUUUGUGGGGUGCUCGAGUGGCGAACGGGUGAGUAACACGUGUGUAACCUGCCCUUGACUUUGGGAUAACUUCAGGAAACUGGGGCUAAUACCGGAUAGGAGCUCCUGCUGCAUGGUGGGGGUUGGAAAGUUUCGGCGGUUGGGGAUGGACUCGCGGCUUAUCAGCUUGUUGGUGGGGUAGUGGCUUACCAAGGCUUUGACGGGUAGCCGGCCUGAGAGGGUGACCGGCCACAUUGGGACUGGGAUACGGCCCAGACUCCUACGGGAGGCAGCGGUGGGGAAUAUUACACAAUGGGCGGAAGCCUGAUGCAGCAACGCCGCGUGCGGGAUGACGGCCUGCGGGUUGUAAACCGCUUUCGCCUGUGACGAAGCGUGAGUGACGGUAAUGGGUAAAGAAGCACCGGCUAACUACGUG